AAAUAAUGCAGGCAUUGUGAUGUAGCAUUAGGCUACUAUUGAUCUUCUGAUCAUAUGUCAGAAGGAGGAUCAUCUGCUGUGGGUGUUCCUGAUCUUUGAGCCAUGAUAAUGUUACUGGUUGGAUGUCAGGAGCAGGCCAUGUGGAUGAUUAAAAGAUGAAUAUCAUAUACAGCAUGGAUAUGUUGGACAAAAAGAUGAUUCACAUCCCAGACAGAAUGGAGCAGAGUUGUUAUGUAAAACCUCCCAGCGAAAGAAAUAGUCCAGAAAGCUUGAAGAGAAACUGAAAUUUGAAAAAUCUACCUAAAAAGGUGAUAAAGGAUUUUCAGUUUUGCAAAAAACGCAAUACAGAGUGUCUUUGGAAAGAAAGUUCUCAUAUGGAUUUAAAAUAUGAUUCAAUUUACAGAAGUCAGAG
rnacentral:lncRNA from 10 species